rnacentral:rRNA from 1 species
AGAGUUUGAUCAUGGCUCAGAUUGAACGCUGGCGGCAGGCCUAACACAUGCAAGUCGAGCGGUAGCACAGAGAGCUUGCUCUCGGGUGACGAGCGGCGGACGGGUGAGUAAUGUCUGGGAAACUGCCUGAUGGAGGGGGAUAACUACUGGAAACGGUAGCUAAUACCGCAUAAUGUCGCAAGACCAAAGUGGGGGACCUUCGGGCCUCAUGCCAUCAGAUGUGCCCAGAUGGGAUUAGCUAGUAGGUGGGGUAACGGCUCACCUAGGCGACGAUCCCUAGCUGGUCUGAGAGGAUGACCAGCCACACUGGAACUGAGACACGGUCCAGACUCCUACGGGAGGCAGCAGUGGGGAAUAUUGCACAAUGGGCGCAAGCCUGAUGCAGCCAUGCCGCGUGUGUGAAGAAGGCCUUCGGGUUGUAAAGCACUUUCAGCGGGGAGGAAGGCGUUGAGGUUAAUAACCUUGUCGAUUGACGUUACCCGCAGAAGAAGCACCGGCUAACUCCGUGCCAGCAGCCGCGGUAAUACGGAGGGUGCAAGCGUUAAUCGGAAUUACUGGGCGUAAAGCGCACGCAGGCGGUCUGUCAAGUCGGAUGUGAAAUCCCCGGGCUCAACCUGGGAACUGCAUUCGAAACUGGCAGGCUAGAGUCUUGUAGAGGGGGGUAGAAUUCCAGGUGUAGCGGUGAAAUGCGUAGAGAUCUGGAGGAAUACCGGUGGCGAAGGCGGCCCCCUGGACAAAGACUGACGCUCAGGUGCGAAAGCGUGGGGAGCAAACAGGAUUAGAUACCCUGGUAGUCCACGCCGUAAACGAUGUCGAUUUGGAGGUUGUGCCCUUGAGGCGUGGCUUCCGGAGCUAACGCGUUAAAUCGACCGCCUGGGGAGUACGGCCGCAAGGUUAAAACUCAAAUGAAUUGACGGGGGCCCGCACAAGCGGUGGAGCAUGUGGUUUAAUUCGAUGCAACGCGAAGAACCUUACCUGGUCUUGACAUCCACAGAACUUUCCAGAGAUGGAUUGGUGCCUUCGGGAACUGUGAGACAGGUGCUGCAUGGCUGUCGUCAGCUCGUGUUGUGAAAUGUUGGGUUAAGUCCCGCAACGAGCGCAACCCUUAUCCUUUGUUGCCAGCGGUUCGGCCGGGAACUCAAAGGAGACUGCCAGUGAUAAACUGGAGGAAGGUGGGGAUGACGUCAAGUCAUCAUGGCCCUUACGACCAGGGCUACACACGUGCUACAAUGGCAUAUACAAAGAGAAGCGACCUCGCGAGAGCAAGCGGACCUCAUAAAGUAUGUCGUAGUCCGGAUUGGAGUCUGCAACUCGACUCCAUGAAGUCGGAAUCGCUAGUAAUCGUAGAUCAGAAUGCUACGGUGAAUACGUUCCCGGGCCUUGUACACACCGCCCGUCACACCAUGGGAGUGGGUUGCAAAAGAAGUAGGUAGCUUAACCUUCGGGAGGGCGCUUACCACUUUGUGAUUCAUGACUGGGGUGAAGUCGUAACAAGGUAACCGUAGGGGAACCUGCGGUUGGAUCACCU